UAGAGUUUGAUCCUGGCUCAGAGCGAACGCUGGCGGCAGGCUUAACACAUGCAAGUCGAACGGGCUUCUUCGGAAGUCAGUGGCAGACGGGUGAGUAACACGUGGGAACGUGCCCUUCGGUUCGGAAUAACUCAGGGAAACUUGAGCUAAUACCGGAUACGCCCUUAUGGGGAAAGGUUUACUGCCGAAGGAUCGGCCCGCGUCUGAUUAGCUUGUUGGUGGGGUAACGGCCUACCAAGGCGACGAUCAGUAGCUGGUCUGAGAGGAUGAUCAGCCACACUGGGACUGAGACACGGCCCAGACUCCUACGGGAGGCAGCAGAAGGG
rnacentral:rRNA from 1 species